rnacentral:rRNA from 1 species
UACGGAGGGGGCAAGCGUUAUUCGGAAUUAUUGGGCGUAAAGGGCGCGUAGGCGGCUAGAUGUGUCAAAGGUGAAAUCCCUCGGCUCAACUGAGGAACUGCCUUUGAAACUGUCUGGCUUGAGGCCGGGAGAGGGUAGCGGAAUUCCCAGUGUAGCGGUGAAAUGCGUAGAUAUUGGGAGGAACACCAGUGGCGAAGGCGGCUACCCGGACCGGUUCUGACGCUGAGGCGCGAAAGCGUGGGUAGCAAACAGG